rnacentral:rRNA from 1 species
UACGUAGGGUGCAAGCGUUAAUCGGAAUUACUGGGCGUAAAGCGUGCGCAGGCGGCUUUGCAAGACAGAUGUGAAAUCCCCGGGCUUAACCUGGGAACUGCAUUUGUGACUGCAUGGCUAGAGUGCGGCAGAGGGGGAUGGAAUUCCGCGUGUAGCAGUGAAAUGCGUAGAUAUCAGGAGGAAUACCGAUGGCGAAGGCAGGUCUCUGGGCUGACACUGACGCUCAUGCACGAAAGCGUGGGGAGCAAACAGG